UACGUAGGGACCAAGCGUUGUUCGGAUUUACUGGGCGUAAAGGGCGCGUAGGCGGCUCUGCACGUCCGUUGUGAAAUCGCCCCGGCUCAACUGGGCGGGGUCAGCGGAUACGGCGGAGCUUGAGCAAGCUAGGGGGCAAUGGAAUUCCCGGUGUAGAGGUGAAAUUCGUAGAUAUCAAGCGGAACACCGGUGGCGAAGGCGGCCUUCUGGACAGUGACUGACGCUGAGACGCGAAAGCGUGGGGAGCAAACAGG
rnacentral:rRNA from 1 species